UCAUACCCUAUUCGAAGGGAUAGGGUCGGUUCGGCCGGAUUUUACACAGGUGUUGCAUGGCUGUCGUCAGCUCGUGUCGUGAGAUGUUGGGUUAAGUCCCGCAACGAGCGCAACCCUCAUCCUUAGUUGCCAUCAGGUAAUGCUGAGCACUUUAAGGAAACUGCCAGUGAUAAGCUGGAGGAAGAUGGGGAUGAUGUCAAGUCAUCAUGGCCUUUAUGAAGUGGGCUACACACGUGCUACAAUGGUGUCUACAAUGGGCUGCAAGGUGCGCAAGCCUAAGCUAAUCCCUAAAAGACAUCUCAGUUCGGAUUGUACUCUGCAACUCGAGUGCAUGAAGUUGGAAUCGCUAGUAAUCGUGGAUCAGCAUGCCACGGUGAAUACGUUCUCGGGUCUUGUACACACUGCCCGUCACGCCAUGGGAAUUGGUUUCACUC
rnacentral:rRNA from 1 species